rnacentral:tRNA from 1 species
GAGGGUGAGGCUCGGUGGUAGAGCACAUGCUUAGCCUACAUGAAGUCCUGGGUUCAAUCCCCAGUACUGCCA